GACGAACGCUGGCGGCGUGCCUAACACAUGCAAGUCGAACGGAUUUGGGAGGUGCGAGGUUAGAGGUUAGAAGUGGGAAUUAAGGUAGAAAUCGGCUUCGCCGAUUUCAUCAAAGGAAUCUCACAUCCAACUUCUCACCUCACACUUCUCAGAUUAGUGGCGGACGGGUGAGUAACGCGUGGGCAACCUACCCAUAAGCGGGGGAUAACAGUUGGAAACGGCUGCUAAUACCGCAUAAGCUGUACAAUACGCAUGUUAAGUACAGUAAAGAUGGCCUCUUGACAAAGCUAUCACUUAUGGAUGGGCCCGCGUCUGAUUAGCUAGUUGGUAGGGUAGUGGACCUACCAAGGCAACGAUCAGUAGCCGGCCUGAGAGGGUGGACGGCCGACACUGGGACUGAGACACGGCCCAGACUCCUACGGGAGGCAGCAGUGGGGAAUAUUGCGCAAUAGGGGAAACCCUGACGCAGCGACGCCGCGUGAGCGAAGAAGGCCUUAGGGUGU
rnacentral:rRNA from 1 species